rnacentral:lncRNA from 1 species
CUAAGCUCAAAAAGUUCAGCAAUCAGUUUACUCAUGCAUAAAUAGUUUAUUUAAAAUAAAUAUUUUUUGAUUGAUCAAAAUUGGAUAUAGCAUUAAUUUCUUAAGCUUAGCCAAACAUGCUAUAAGAAUUAAGCACGUUGAAGUGAAAAGUAGCAAUAACUGAUUCCUUGGAGCAACACAAAACUGGUCAUGCCAGUAACACGCUAACACGUCCCCCAUGUUGUAUUGACGACUGAAUGAUCAAAACCCUCAAUUUCUUUUGGCAAUAACGGCUUCGCCAGGGAUCCUAAAGAACAUCUAUACAUUUUUUCAUUGUAAUUUAUACUAAAAUACAAAUUGAAGAGAGUAAAACAUACUGAUUAUUGACUCACAGGCAUUGGCGGAUGUAGCUCAUGGCCAACUAGGGCGGCCCCCUAGCUGGAUCCGCCGGAACCGCCGGACUGUUGAAGAGCAAAAUGCAGCCGCCCUAGCUGAUUUAAUCCAUACCCAUAUCAUUUUUCCCCAAAUGAAAUCCCGUCAAUUUGGAGAGAGCAGAGAGCAAACCCUUGAAUUCUUUCCAUUAUUCGCCCCUGAUUCCAUAAUUUCCAACCCAUAAUUUCCUUCCACAUUUCCAUUCGAAGUGCGAAGUGGGUUGACUGGGUAGUGGGUUAGUGGCGUGUGGGUUGUGAUUGUGAAGUCCUAGUCGGGGUCGGGCGGUGCAAGCAGUGGUGUGCCAUGCGAGAUUGUGCGAACUGCCAAGGAGAAGAAGUCGUGUGCAGCGUGGGUCAGGGACUCAGGGUGAGUUCACUGUUCUUCAUACUCGAAGUCUUGAAUAGUUGCAUUGUUUUUGUUGAAUGUUGAAUACUUUUUGUUUCAAAUCCUUUUGUUAUCUUAUCUAUUUUUGGUGAAUUGAGAUUGCGAAGUGAAAUCAGAAUAUCUUUUUGUUGAAUUGUUGAAACUUGAAUGUUGAAUUGUUGAUUUGUUGCACUUAUUUGUUGAGACUUGAGAGUGUUUGUGGGCUCCAAUUUGAUUGAUUUGUAUGGUAAAUGCGGGAGAUUAACUCUGGACGCAAGGUGUUUGAUGGAAUGAGCGUGACAAAUG